UGGAUGAUGUGGUUUAAUUCGAUGCAACGCGAAGAACCUUACCACCUUUGACAUGUACGGAACCCUUUAGAGAUAGAGGGGUUGCUCGAAAGAGAGCCGUAACACAGGUGCUGCAUGGCUGUCGUCAGCUCGUGUCGUGAGAUGUUGGGUUAAGUCCCGCAACGAGCGCAACCCUUGUCAUUAGUUGCUACAUUCAGUUGGGCACUCUAAUGAGACUGCCGGUGACAAGCCGGAGGAAGGUGGGGAUGACGUCAAGUCCUCAUGGCCCUUAUGACCUGGGCUACACACGUGCUACAAUGGGCGGUACAAAGGGUCGCCAACCCGCGAGGGGGAGCCAAUCCCAUAAAGCCAUUCAUAGUCCGGAUCGCAGUCUGCAACUCGACUGCGUGAAGUCGGAAUCGCUAGUAAUCGUGGAUCAGAAUGUCACGGUGAAUACGUUCCCGGGUCUU
rnacentral:rRNA from 1 species